rnacentral:rRNA from 1 species
AAUGAACGCUGGCGGCAGGCCUAAAACAUGCAAGUCGAACGCAGUAGCAAUACUGAGUGGCGCACGGGUGCGUAACACGUGGGAAUAUGCCUAUUGGUACGGAACAGCUCCGGGAAACUGGAAUUAAUACCGUAUGGUCCCUUCGGGGUAAAGAUUUAUCGCCAAUAGAUUAGCCCGCGGUGGAUUAGCUAGUUGGUAGGGUAAUGGCCUACCAAGGCGACGAUCCAUAGCUGGUCUGAGAGGACGAUCAGCCACACUGGGACUGAGACACGGCCCAGACUCCUACGGGAGGCAGCAGUUAGGAAUAUUGGACAAUGGGCGCAAGCCUGAUCCAGCCAUGCCGCGUGAGUGAUGAAGGCCUUCGGGUUGUAAAACUCUUUAGCCGACGAAUAUAAUGGCUGUAGUCGGAAAAUAAGCCCCGGCUAACUUCGUGCCAGCAGCCGCGGUAA